AACGAACGCUGGCGGCAGGCCUAACACAUGCAAGUCGAACGAAGCCUUCGGGCUUAGUGGCGGACGGGUGAGUAACGCGUGGGAACGUGCCCUUUGGUUCGGAAUAGCCCCGGGAAACUGGGAGUAAUACCGGAUAAGCUCUACGGAGGAAAGAUUUAUCGCCAAAGGAUCGGCCCGCGUUGGAUUAGGUAGUUGGUGGGGUAAUGGCCUACCAAGCCGACGAUCCAUAGCUGGUUUGAGAGGAUGAUCAGCCACACUGGGACUGAGACACGGCCCAGACUCCUACGGGAGGCAGCAGUGGGGAAUCUUAGACAAUGGGGGAAACCCUGAUCUAGCCAUGCCGCGUGAUCGAUGAAGGCCUUAGGGUUGUAAAGAUCUUUCAGGUGGGAAGAUAAUGACUGUACCACCAGAAGAAGCCCCGGCUAACUCCGUGCCAGCAGCCGCCGUAAAAC
rnacentral:rRNA from 1 species